AUCAGCAUGGUGUAGUGGUUUGAAUGUUGGACUAGGACUCUGGAAGACCCAAGUUCAAAUCUUUGUUCAGCCA